rnacentral:rRNA from 1 species
AGAGUUUGAUCCUGGCCGUCAUUUUACACCGGCGGCGUGCUUAACACAUGUAAGUCGAACGAUGAAGUCCUUUUGGAUGGAUUAGUGGCGCACGGGUGAGUAAUAUAUAGGUAAUGUGCCCCAAAGACCGGGAUAGCCACUGGAAACGGUGAUUAAUACUGGAUACACCUUUUAGAUUCAAGUCUAAAAGGGAAAUGUUUUUUCGCUUUGGGAUCGGCCUAUAUCCUAUCAGCUAGUUGGUGAGGUAAAAGCUCACCAAGGCAAUGACGGGUAGCGGGUUUGAGAGGAUGAUCCGCCACACUGGUACUGAGACACGGACCAGACUCCUACGGGAGGCAGCAGUGAGGAAUAUUGCACAAUGGGGGAAACCCUGAUGCAGCAACGCCGCGUGGAGGAUGACGCAUUUCGGUGUGUAAACUCCUUUUAUUAGGGAAGAAAAUGACGGUACCUAAUGAAUAAGCACCGGCUAACUCCGUGCCAGCAGCCGCGGUAAUACGGAGGGUGCAAGCGUUACUCGGAAUCACUGGGCGUAAAGGACGCGUAGGCGGGUUGGAAAGUCAGGUGUGAAAUCCUACAGCUUAACUGUAGAACUGCACUUUGAAACUUUCUAAUCUAGAGUAUGGGAGGUGUAGAUGGAAUUAUUGGUGUAGGGGUAAAAUCCGUAGAUAUCACUAGGAAUACCGAAGCGAAAGCGAUCUCCUGGAACAGUACUGACUCUAAUGCUUGA